ACACUUGAAUGGCGCACCUCGAAAUUCGUCAGCAGUCAGAUAGCGCCUGUCCUCGUGCUUUUUGGAGGAGAGAUACAGGUGUUUUUGGAAGCGCUCUCGCUGCUGGCCACAAACUACAUCAAGCUGGAGUUUCCUGUCCACGCAGUUAGAAACAGCAUUGUUUAUUCCCCAAGUUAACUGCCAGGGACUUUUUACCUUCAGAAAGCUUUGAAUGAUGGCAGUUUUGUCCAGAAUUGACUCUCAGCUUCCACCCUGAAAAUCACUGAUCUCUUCAGCAAGGUGGUCCCUGGUGGAAACUGGCUCACUCCGUCUGUCAAGUUUGUGGCUGGUUUGACACCGCUGCCGCGGCGCCACUUUGUACGCCUCCCGUCUUCCCUCGCCAGCCUCAGUAGAGGGACUCCUUCUCGUCUUCUUCUUCUUAUGUUAUUUUCUUAAAGCUAGUUCUCCUCUCCUCGUUGUUUUCAUCUGUGAUGUCCAUCAAUACUGAGUACAGCUCUUCCUUUUGUAUUUACUGGAAACAGGGGGAGAAAAGUGGGGAGACUGGUAAAUAUGCAGAAUGGGAUGUUAUGAGAGGCAUUUAUAAUGAGAGGUCUUAUUAAAAGUCAGUGUGGAGCAGCAAGUUUAUUCCUUUCUGAACAACUUUUUAGGAGUGAGGAUAUUGUAAGAGAAAGUAAAGGCUAGGAAAUAGCUCUUUGAAAAAUAAAAUACAAGUAAACAUAUGGGAUAAUGUAUGGAAUAAACAACACGCCUUCUGCAAA